rnacentral:rRNA from 1 species
AGUGAACGCUGGCGGUAGGCCUAACACAUGCAAGUCGAACGGCAGCACAGUAAGAGCUUGCUCUUACGGGUGGCGAGUGGCGGACGGGUGAGGAAUACAUCGGAAUCUACUUUUUCGUGGGGGAUAACGUAGGGAAACUUACGCUAAUACCGCAUACGACCUACGGGUGAAAGCAGGGGAUCUUCGGACCUUGCGCGAUUGAAUGAGCCGAUGUCGGAUUAGCUAGUUGGCGGGGUAAAGGCCCACCAAGGCGACGAUCCGUAGCUGGUGUGAGAGGAGGAUCAGCCACACUGGAACUGAGACACGGUCCAGACUCCUACGGGAGGCAGCAGUGGGGAAUAUUGGACAAUGGGCGCAAGCCUGAUCCAGCCAUACCGCGUGGGUGAAGAAGGCCUUCGGGUUGUAAAGCCCUUUUGUUGGGAAAGAAAAGCAGCAGGUUAAUACCCCGCUGUUCUGACGGUACCCAAAGAAUAAGCACCGGCUAACUUCGUG